ACGGGGGGAGCAAGCGUUGUUCGGAUUUACUGGGCGUAAAGGGCGCGUAGGCGGCGUGACAAGUCACUUGUGAAAUCUCCGGGCUUAACUCGGAGCGGCCAAGUGAUACUGUCGUGCUAGAGUGCGGAAGGGGCUACUGGAAUUCUCGGUGUAGCGGUGAAAUGCGUAGAUAUCGAGAGGAACACCUGCGGCGAAGGCGGGUAGCUGGGCCGACACUGACGCUGAGGCGCGAAAGCGUGGGGAGCAAACAGGA
rnacentral:rRNA from 1 species